AUUGAACGCUGGCGGCAUGCCUUACACAUGCAAGUCGAACGGUAACGGGCCUUCGGGUGCCGACGAGUGGCGAACGGGUGAGUAAUGUAUCGGAACGUACCUUUCAGUGGGGGAUAACGUAGCGAAAGUUACGCUAAUACCGCAUAUUCUGUGAGCAGGAAAGCAGGGGAUCGCAAGACCUUGCGCUGUUUGAGCGGCCGAUAUCAGAUUAGCUAGUUGGUGAGGUAAAGGCUCACCAAGGCGACGAUCUGUAGCGGGUAUGAGAGGAUGAUCCGCCACACUGGAACUGAGUCACGGUCCAGACUCCUACGGGAGGCAGCAGUGGGGAAUUUUGGACAAUGGGGGCAACCCUGAUUCAGCCAUGCCGCGUGAGUGAGGAAGUCCUUCGGGUUGUAAAGCUCUUUCGGCCGGGAAGAAAUCGUAUCAGCUAAUACCUGGUGCGGAUGACGGUACCGGCAUAAGAAGCACCGGCUAACUACUUGCCAGCCGCCGCAGUAAGAC
rnacentral:rRNA from 1 species